rnacentral:rRNA from 1 species
GAUGAACGCUGGCGGCGUGCCUAAUACAUGCAAGUCGAGCGAACAGACGAGGAGCUUGCUCCUCUGACGUUAGCGGCGGACGGGUGAGUAACACGUGGAUAACCUACCUAUAAGACUGGGAUAACUUCGGGAAACCGGAGCUAAUACCGGAUAAUAUAUUGAACCGCAUGGUUCAAUAGUGAAAGACGGUUUUGCUGUCACUUAUAGAUGGAUCCGCGCCGCAUUAGCUAGUUGGUAAGGUAACGGCUUACCAAGGCAACGAUGCUUAGCCGACCUGAGAGGGGGAUCGGCCACACUGGACCUGAGACACGUGCCAGACUCCUACGGGAGGCAGCAGUAGGGAAUCUUCCGAAAUGGGCGAAAGCCUGACGAAGUAACGCCGCGUGAGUGAUGAAGGUCUUCGGAUCGUAAAACUCUGUUAUUAGGGAAGAACAAAUGUGUAAGUAACGAUGCACGUCUGGACGGUACCUAAGCAGAAAGCCACGGCUAACUACGU